rnacentral:rRNA from 1 species
CCUACGGGUGGCAGCAGUGAGGAAUAUUGGUCAAUGGACGAGAGUCUGAACCAGCCAAGUAGCGUGAAGGAUGACUGCCCUAUGGGUUGUAAACUUCUUUUAUAUGGGAAUAAAAUGUUCCACGUGUGGGAUUUUGUAUGUCCCAUAUGAAUACGGAUCGGCUAACUCCGUGCCAGCAGCCGCGGUAAUACGGAGGAUCCGAGCGUUAUCCGGAUUUAUUGGGUUUAAAGGGAGCGUAGGUGGAUGUUUAAGUCAGUUGUGAAAGUUUGCGGUGCAACCGUAAAAUUGCAGUUGAAACUGGCAGUCUUGAGUACAGUAGAGGUGGGCGGAAUUCGUGGUGUAGCGGUGAAAUGCUUAGAUAUCACGAAGAACUCCGAUUGCGAAGGCAGUUCACUGGACUGCAACUGACACUGAGGCUCGAAAGUGUGGGUAUCAAACAGGAUUAGAUACCCGAGUAGUC